ensembl:lncRNA
GGAUUUCCCAACUUAAACAAGUUUUGUUGUAGUUAACAAGUGUAAAGAGGAUGACGAGGACGGGUUUUAUUGUUCUCUAAAGUAAAAAAUGUUAAUAAUUUUCUCGUCUUCACCUGCACGCAGCUUAAGCUCUCUCUCACACACACACACACACACACACACACACACACACACACACACACACCCACAACAAGAAAGCUGUUCUGAGUGAAACAUCUGCCAGACGCCUGAGGCAGUUCAACCGUUAUGUAAUGUGAUGUAAAAACAGACUUCCGACAAGUGGAAGCCCCCAAACUUUACAACACACAUCCCAACUUUGCUAUUUUGACAUUAAAUUCUGAAAAUAUUUCACAUUAUCAAAUGUACGAGGCAUACAAGGCAUAAGAUAUAUGUUCUGAGCAUCAGGAAAAUAAUUUCUAAUGCCUCUAAAUUGGCCGGCGUGUGGCCUGACAGAGCACAAUGUGGAGGACCAGGACAAAGCACGACUACAAACAGGUCAAUGAGGCGCACUCUGCGCCGCGUUCUUUCAAUAAUUCAGCAGGGAAGCUGUGUUUUGUGUUACGUUGUUCACUUCCUCCGUGAUUAUCGUCGAACUAUCCACACUAAAAGGCAUGAAAGCUGUGUGAUCUUGAUAUUUAAGAGACCAAUCAUUUUGCCGAUUAAUGCAGAAAAUAAUUGCCAGAUCAAUUGAUGCAGCAAAUAACUGUUGGUUGCAGAUGCCCAGGCAGACAAGGAAGUGAUUACUUACCCUGGAUAUUGUGGAUAUGUGGGUUCAGCAGAGACGUUUAGUGCUACUCGGGUGCACAACGCUCAACAGCCUUUUUUCAGUGCAAUGAAGCGGCAUCCAUUUGAGUGAGUCAAAGAAAGACGUGCCGCGUGUUUCACCGUGCAUCCUUCAGGGCGUGACCCUUCCACAGCCGGAUCUUAUCUGUUAUUAAUAUGGACGAGACAUUUAAACGCAUUUUCUUGCCUUUUUCUCUCCAGCGAGCGCAAAAACCCUUUGAUAUGGUUCCAUGGAAAGGGAAAGAAGAUAAUUGGGGAAGCCUUGCUAAUCCUGACUAUGGGGCUUUUCCUUUGUUAAUAUUCCCUCUGUGUGGGUCGUGGCGGACGACACGGAAAUGAAUCGCUGACCAAAAUAAAAAAAAUAACUAAAUGCAUGCAAUGUGUACGUGUUGUUGGCGCGGUAGUUGAGACAUGCGUGGCUUUAACCCUCACGUCCCACUGGCACUUUUUAACACAGCCUCCCCACUGACAUUCAGUGAUAUUUCCAUCUUCUUAAUUAUGUGACAACGAGCAGGUUUGCGACAUUAAAGCCAGCUGCGUCUUUUGCGCUGAAGCAUUUCGUCAUCGUUGGCUCUUAAUCCUCGUUGUCCAGCAGUCAGAAGGACGGUGCAAGUUCAUUUCACAGGACGCGAUAAUCAACGUGGCUGCUUCGUACCGCUCUGCCGGAGGGUUGCGCUGCACCUUCUGUCUGUGUUUUGUUUGUUUGUGCGGGUGAUGGGUGGGGGACUGAUUAGGCAGCGGUGAAGAAGGAAAACUGGUGGAAAGCAGCUCCCUCUCUCCUCUUUUCUCGCCGCGGGGUCGGCGGUUCUGCCGAGCGGAUCGGCCUGAUAGUAGCUCACAGCCUGGAGGCCGUCUGGGUGGUUGUAGGGGUGAGAAGCUCGUUUCGUUUCUCCUGUUUGGUGCCUGGGAGAUGAAUGAGCUGCCUGCUGAUGCGUGAUGACGCACAUUGUCAGCAGGUUGUCAGGCGUCUACUUCACUAAAGAAGAUGGAAAUGGGAGCCGGGUGCCUGCGGUCUUCAGGGGUCUCUCCAAACCUUUUCCCAGGAAACCAGGAGCUCCUUUGGUGAGAAGUUCUUUGAUGCCGACUGCAGUCGUAUAAUGUCAUCUCCAAUUACCUCUGAAAUCCAUCUGUACUCCCUCCAUCGCCCCACAGCCGCCACCUGUGUUUGUCAGCUAAAAUCCCGUCGCUUAAGCAACUGUAGAGGAGCUCUCAGAUCAUGUAGCACAACAUCGUAGUUGAAGCACUGCUUCUUAGCGUUUAACGUGACCUUCUUAAAGGAGUAAAUCUUGAAUAAAACAAACUGUGCUGUGAGCCUAUAAGGUGUGCAGAGUUGAGCCCAACGUUUUCAACUCCACGUAAGAACUGCACAUGAGCUGAAGAAGCGCCGUCCCCCAGAAUGCACCGCUCCGUUUUCAAUCAAUCACUUUUGUUGAAUGAAAUAUUGUUUCUCGUCACGAGCUGGAAACAGAUGUGUUACAGCUAAUGAACAUUUAAUGAAAAGGAUCAUCUGUGAAGCCUCUGUUAAUGAUGAAAUACAACCACCCCUUUGCCCCCCCCUCUCCCCCCACCACCACAAAAUCCAAACGUCGUCAAUCAAUACAAUCAAUCAAUCGACCUCAUAUUGUUUUACAGCGUUUCUCUUCAUCUUUCAAUCUCUCCCCUAACUUCCACGGAAUCUUAUGAGAAAGGAGGGAAAGUUACAAUCUCUCACCUCGAUCUGUCCGUUGACGUUAAUCCCCCGUUAAAUUGAGUAAGUGUGAUAUUUCCCGCCUGAGACCCCGACGGCCCAUUAAACCUGUCAGAUGCACAUUUCCUCGCGCGGUUUCCUGCCUUCGUCACGGGAAGCAGGACGUUCACAGUCGGCUUACAGUUGUAGAUGGUUGUGGCGGAGGGGUCUGUACAAAUAACUGCAUCAUUACGGGAAGGUGCUGUCUGCAAGGGGGAAAUAGACUUGAGUUGUUCCUCCUCCCACUUCUUCUUCUGACUCUCCAGAAGAGAAAAUAAAACCAACAGACUGUAGAUUGUGAGGCACGACUGGACCUGGCUUCUGCACUGAACCAUUUUUCCAAGGCGUAUGCCAGGAUUUAACAUCACGUUGGCCGGCAUAAACCCGCAUGAUAAGAACAAGAAAAUACUUAAACAGAACUGAAAUGGAGAUAGUGAAGUUUAAAUUCCAGCUAAAUAGAAAAAAUAAUUGGCUAUAGAAAUAUGAGUUUCAGUUAUUGAAAAAGGUGCCGUCCUCGUUAAUAACGGAAAGUGACCACUCGGUCCAGCCCUGUUUUAUAUUAAUGACUUAUGAACAGAACGUCACUGAGCGUCAUCCAAAGCAGCGAGGAGAUGAACCAAAGACUCUACGGAGGCUUCAUCUUCCCUUUUACCUUUUACAUGAAGUCGGUUUCCGUAGUUUUCCCCUGAAAGUUCAAAACUGUGUCACAAAGUCUCCUCGCUGGGAGUCCGACCCCCUCAGGGGCCACUGGUCAGGUAAAAGACUGCUGCUAUCGGCUUCAGCUUGUGUCAAGCUCUGCAUUCAAUUACAAAAAUCGAGAGGGAAUCCAAUGUAUUUUAAGUCAUUAAAAAAGACAAAAUAACAACCGGCUUCUGCCUCUUAUCCAUGCGCCAUUAACUUUGUAUCUACUCUGCUCGCCGCCCAAGGAAUCUUAUCUAACGCCCUUCGGCACAAUGUUCAGGAUUUGCAUUCUCACUGUAAUCUGCAAACAUGGGGAACGCUAAUAAAUAUUCCUACAGCAGGAUCCCCGACCGGCCUUAUUCAGUUGCUCCAAAGAAUAUAUUUUUCUUCUUCCUGGUUGAAUGCCAUUUUCUUGGAGCGGUACCAAUAAACUGGCCUUGUGGAGAGGGCAGAAAUACAGUUUAUUUGUUGACGACAGAUAUGAGGUUUCACUCCCCUCCUCGAGCGAGACAUUAAUCUAACGGACACAAUAAGGUCGGAGCUGGAGAUCAUUAGCAGAUCUCCCAGAGUGUCAAAUUUACCCAAGGAAAUGUUCAUCUCAGAGGGCGACUCGGCCGCACUGAGCUUCUCUUCUGAUGAGGCACAUUUGUACCCUGUUGCGGCUGGCAGGGGACUAAUAUCUCCUUCCUGGCGCCGCUGCUUCCACAUCUUUACGAGGUCUUCAGCCUUCGAAGGCAACAUCCCACUGAACCGACAAUUACCUGCUAAAGCACGUUGGCUAAUUUGGAUCUGGGGACGAGGGGAAUUAUGCAGUAUUCUAACAGCACGCUGCAGUGUGCGUGAAGUGGUGGCUGCCAGCAUAAACAACACAACGCAGGCCUUCGUUAGCGCUGCAGAACAGACGCAGCUGCAUAUGUGUCAAUAUUUUACAAUAUAUUACAACAUGAAGUAACACCUGAAUAUCGCUUUUUCAUAUUUACAACACGAUGGGAUGCACAUCCUCAAAAGCAGAACGUGUAAUCGAUAUCCACAUGAAUGUUCACCAGCUGUUGCCCUCCUUCCUUCCUGACUGACGUCUAACUGAAGGUGGACGUGUCGAACGUUUUCAUGAAGCCAACUGAGGGAACGGCGCCGACAGGCGGGAGACGACGCACGCUUGUUCACAGAUUCAAGGGCCCGUGGUAGCCUUGGUCAUUCGUCAAUGUAAGAAUGUCUUCUUGGCUCAAGCCCACCUUCGUGGUCAUGUGGAAAUAUUGCUAUGUGGGUUUUGGCCUCAAUAAAACAUAAAGGUGUUUUCCAGAGAAGUUAGAGGUUUUCAUCUGUCCUGCUUUGGGGUUAUUCUUUAGCCUUGAUGUUGCCGGGCUAGCAGGUCUCUUUAAGUCUGUGAAGCAGGUGUGAAAGCUGCACCCGGAGCUGUGAAAUAAAAAUAAACCACAAAUAUCAAAGGAUUGUGUGUUUUGUAUGUAUGUGUAUCAUUUGAUUGAGUGAUUUCCGUGUCGAUCAGACCGCUGUCCUCGUGUCCUACCCUGAAUUCGCUGUGUAUUAAGUCCAUUUAACAGUGCGUGACAUCACGACCCCAAAGCAUCCUGCUUUAAUCCAACAUAACCCAGGGAACACCGCUAGCCAAGAUUUAUCUGUCCAGCCCGAUUACUGUUAGGAACUUACAGUCAAUUGCUUUGAAUCAGAUAUUGAGCAGUUUGUGACACCAGGGAACGUAAAUAUAGGCAAUAUAAGCAUCAUAGAUGUGCAUGAGCCGUUUCCAAAAACAUGGUGGACAGUUCUUUUUGUACGGCAAACUCGAUAUGUAAUAAAGUCUAAUUAUUAUUGUUCAUACUGUUUCCUUGCUGGUCUAUCUUGAAGCCCUUUUGGGAAAAUGUGGUGAAGAAAAUAAUCAUUUAAAUGAGUCAGAAAAUAAAUUUUGAAAUGUCAACAACCGGCAAAGUAACUUUUGUGUCAAUGCGAUUGAUCAGCAGCC